rnacentral:lncRNA from 1 species
UGACGUCAGCCGGGGGCGGGGGGGACACGUUUUACCCAGCCCCCCUGUCCCAGUCGCCGUCCCCCCUUCCCUUGGUGGCUCUCGCAGCCGGCUCCGCUCCCGGCUCGGCCGCUCUUCGCGGGAGCGCUCUGACAGCACCUGCAGGACAGCGCGGGCACUCGGAGCCGGGAAGGGGAAUAAGGUUCCCCUAAUGAGUCUGCUGUGGACCCUACUGCUGAUUCAGAAAGUAAUCCAGACAAGACUUGCAUGUUUUCUGCUCCAUUCUUUGGGUCAAGAACACACUGGUUAAUAGCCAAUUAUUUCAUGCCCUAAGGAAAUUUUGGCAAAGAAGUUCCUGGGAAGAGUCAACUUGUUUUGGGAAAUGAAACUAAUAUUCACUUUCCAAAUUCUGAAGCCGGCUGAAAUUUUCCUGGACUGCCUAAACCAGAAUGUGCAGUUCCAGCUAAGAUAUCUAAAGGCACAAAGAGCUGAGGAAGGCUGGCAUGCCGAGGAGGGGAGAGGCCAGGAUUGUCACCCAGAGCUCCCAGAGCAGGUGUGCCUGGGCAGCUCUGGGCUCCCACACUGCAGCCAAGGCUUUCAAGAGGGGUGGCACAAUUCAAGAGAGGAUACUGAUGAAAUCACACUCAAACCUGAGUCUGAACAAGUCAGCAGAGCGCAGCUUUUGGGAGUGAGUCAUGUUAAAACCAAGCAUAUGCUCAAGUGUUUUGCUGGAUCAUGGCCAUAUUGAACUAUAAUGACCUAAAUGGAUUUGCUCCCCAGACAAAUUUACCCUUUGCUUUCCUCCUGCCCACACAUACAUUUGCACCUCAAUCAAUCACUUAUGUCUCCUUCUAUUUCCUGCAUCCUACUUUUAUGAAAAACUUUAUGACUUCUUUAAUCUCUUCUAAGCAUGGCUUUAUUUCCUCUACUGGUUUCCUUGAUAAUUCAUCAUCAGGGCUUUUUUGCCCCUACCUAAAGAUUUUCAAUUUUAGUGUAGAAAUUUAAUAAAAACAAAUUUGUUAAGUAAGACUUGUUAAAG